CAGUCCCGGCUCUACAGGCGCGUUACGGCGCCCCGAGGCAUUUCGGGACUUGUAGUCCGGGAAGUGAGUAAACUGGCGCGGAACCGGGGCACCGCCCCCAACGCCGCGUUCUCGGGCGCCGAUUGGCUCAGAGCGAGGACGGGCGGGCGCGACGGCCAAUGGAAGGCGGCAGGGCCCGAGGGAUUUGGGGGCUGUUUCUGACGCCCCCCAUGACCCCCCGCAGCCCCCUCGGGGGCAGGGGGACACCAGAACCCCCCGGCGCCACGUUGGCCGUGAAGGUGAAGAAGCCAGGGUGGCGCCCCCUGGUGCAGAGAUGCCCAGCAGCUGCGGCUGACUGGCGACAGGGCCUCGCGGGAGUCACGUGCCUGACACACUGAGGGAUUUCUCCUUUAAUCUGAUGUGUGCGGUGAAACUACAACAGGGUAUGGUCCUGGAGGAACCACGAAGGGGUCUCUGGUGGUCAUAUUCACUGAAUGCUUCCAUAUUACAGGUUUGGGCCCAAAUCCGCCCCCAGGAAGCCAUGCCAGGAGGCCGUAGCCGAGGCCCAUUUAGGUAUAAAAAGAGUGAUUUUGGGACAAACACUCUGUGUCUGCAGAGUUCUGGGAAUUCAGGAGCUGAGGGGCUGGAGAGUGGGGGACGACUGGGGACGCUUCAUUCCUGUUUUUUUCCUCAUUGUUUGGGGAUGGGCAGAAAUUGAGGAUUUUUUCUGCCCAGAUUUCAGAUUUUUUACUCUUUUCCCCUCCUCAGUUUUGUGUCUUUUUCCCUCU